AGCUUUUGUGGAACUACAACUCCCAUGAUGCUUUCUUUAGAAUGACAAAGCAUCAUGGGAGUUGUAGUUCUACAUCA
rnacentral:miRNA from 1 species